CUUAUGAUGGACUUGAUGGCGAUCAUCAAAUGUAACAGCAACUCCAUGUGGACUGUGUCUAAUUUCCAGUGGAGAUGCUGUUACUUUUGAUGCUUACCAACUUGCUACAAUAUAAAG
rnacentral:precursor_RNA from 15 species